rnacentral:rRNA from 1 species
AUUGAACGCUGGCGGCAUGCCUUACACAUGCAAGUCGAACGGUAACAGGUCUUCGGAUGCUGACGAGUGGCGAACGGGUGAGUAAUGCAUCGGAACGUGCCCAGUAGUGGGGGAUAGCCCGGCGAAAGCCGGAUUAAUACCGCAUAAGACCUGAGGGUGAAAGGGGGGGAUCGCAAGACCUCCCGCUAUUGGAGCGGCCGGUGUCAGAUUAGCUAGUUGGUGGGGUAAAGGCCUACCAAGGCAACGAUCUGUAGUUGGUCUGAGAGGACGACCAGCCCCACUGGGACUGAGACACGGCCCAGACUCCUACGGGAGGCAGCAGUGGGGAAUUUUGGACAAUGGGCGCAAGCCUGAUCCAGCAAUGCCGCGUGCAGGAAGAAGGCCUUCGGGUUGUAAACUGCUUUUGUCAGGGAAGAAAUCUUCUGGGUUAAUACCUCGGGAGGAUGACGGUACCUGAAGAAUAAGCACCGGCUAACUACGUGCCAGCCGCCGCCGUAACAC